AUUGAACGCUGGCGGCAUGCCUUACACAUGCAAGUCGAACGGUAACAGGUCUUCGGAUGCUGACGAGUGGCGAACGGGUGAGUAAUACAUCGGAACGUGCCCGAGAGUGGGGGAUAACGAGGCGAAAGCUUUGCUAAUACCGCAUACGAUCUCAGGAUGAAAGCAGGGGACCGCAAGGCCUUGCGCUCACGGAGCGGCCGAUGGCAGAUUAGGUAGUUGGUGGGAUAAAAGCUUACCAAGCCGACGAUCCGUAGCUGGUCUGAGAGGACGACCAGCCACACUGGGACUGAGACACGGCCCAGACUCCUACGGGAGGCAGCAGUGGGGAAUUUUGGACAAUGGGCGCAAGCCUGAUUCAGCCAUGCCGCGUGCAGGAUGAAGGCCUUCGGGUUGUAAACUGCUUUUGUACGGAACGAAAAGACUCUGGUUAAUACCUGGGGUCCAUGACGGUACCGUAAGAAUAAGCACCGGCUAACUACGUGCCAGCAGCCGCAGUAACAC
rnacentral:rRNA from 1 species